GUAUAAUUUGCUGGUCUGACAUCUGUUAAUCUCAAGACUACUUUCUUCAAUGGGCUGAAUCAGUAUCUACCAGGGCUACUAGACCUGUACAAGGUCACGGCUGGGACGCUAGCUGGACCGAGCAAGCUGUUCUGAACAACCCUCAACUCAAAGAAAGAUGGAAAUUGUUCUGCUGGGCCUUCCCCACUUAAGGAGGACCCCUCAUGGCAUUCCAAAACUGCUGAGUCCCCUGAUGAGGAGGCUUCAGUCAUGGGAGGACUGAAACUUGGCGUUGUACUAAUUGAAGAU